rnacentral:rRNA from 1 species
GACGAACGCUGGCGGCGUGCUUAACACAUGCAAGUCGAACGGAAAGGCCCUGCUUUUGUGGGGUGCUCGAGUGGCGAACGGGUGAGUAACACGUGAGUAACCUGCCCUUGACUUUGGGAUAACUUCAGGAAACUGGGGCUAAUACCGGAUAGGAGCUCCUGCUGCAUGGUGGGGGUUGGAAAGUUUCGGCGGUUGGGGAUGGACUCGCGGCUUAUCAGCUUGUUGGUGGGGUAGUGGCUUACCAAGGCUUUGACGAGUAGCCGGCCUGAGAGGGUGACCGGCCACAUUGGGACUGAGAUACGGCCCAGACUCCUACGGGAGGCAGCAGUGGGGGAUAUUGCACAAUGGGCGGAAGCCUGAUGCAGCAACGCCGCGUGCGGGAUGACGGCCUUCGGGUUGUAAACCGCUUUCGCCUGUGACGAAGCGUGAGUGACGGUAAUGGGUAAAGAAGCACCGGCUAACUACGUG